UACUUUUUUAGGAGUCUAUCAUGAACUAUUUUAAUGCAACGUUUAUAAAUACGUUGAAACUGUUGUCUAUCACAGAUUAUUUAGCUUGACGAAUAGGCUAUUGAGCAAACAGAUUUUAGGCUUAAAAGUAUCACGUUUAUGAAACUGUUGUCCGCAUCUCAAUAAUAUGUACCUUUUAAUACGAAGUUGUUAGUGUCUAUCAAAGAAAUAUUUUAAUUGAUAUUUAUGUAUGUCACACAAAAAUAACCCUAUCAUAUACCAUUUCUUUUAUGGACAUUUGAAGGUUGCUUCAAUGGUGGAGGAGUGCCGAUGGUCAGAGAAGUUUGUCAAACUCCAGCUUAUAAUGGACCCAGCUAACAUUCCUGGCUUAUGAUCAACACAUGCACAACCUCGUGUUACGAUGUAGCGCCAAGGCUUUGCGCUUAGCUGCCUCUCGGACUCAGCAAAAGACGAGAAAAAUAGAUAGAUGUUGACACUCCACUACAUGGAUUCACUGAUAUUAAGCCAACUUCAGCCGGUCGGCUAUACCCACAUGACCCUACCCAUUCUUGCCCUCCAAGACGUCCUGUCACGCAACCUGCUGCACAAUGACUCGCUCAGGUUUUUCGUGCAUGCUCGAGCAACUGUCUAGAGUUAAAUCUCAUGCAGGGUUACGCUUUUCACCAAAAGGCAUGUGGACCGAUCGCGCUGAAUGAGCUUGACUUAGCAAAGUCACGAGACGAGAUUGCCCUUUGGCGGGAGAAACAUUCACAGGUUGCAGAGGAAGAAGCUACAAUGUGUUCAUGAGGAGUCUGCCAUCAUGGCGCAGCUUGCGGCCCGGGACAAACAAUCAUCUCGAGCCUCGUAUGUUUCCCACCGGACCGAUCAGCCGACCGACAAUUCGUCCUCGCCCAUUGACUUCCUCAUGAGACAGGGUCACGUACACCAGACAGCCCAAGAGUUUCUCUGGGAAGCCCAUGAUGUGGGAGUGUCUCUCAGUGAUGCUCCCCUGCAAGCCCAGGCUCUAUAUCAGCGGGGGAAACUUUCCCUGGACAGGCAGGCCAUCAACUUCUGUAUCAGAGCACAGUCUUGCUGGUGUACAGUUGGGGAUCAUUCUAGAAGAGCAUCCAGGUAUCAACAACCCCUCCAUUAUGAAAAUGGUUCAUGAAAUCUGCGAGAAAUAUGAUUAGUGUAUAGGCUCACUAAAGUUCGGCUGGGUUAUAGACAAGAGGCGUUACCAUUGAUGCCUGAACAUGCAGCUAUUCUCACACGUAUGGCGUACGAUUCUUUGGAACCUGAGAUUCGACACAGAUUCUAUCUUCAGACGGCAAUUGUUCUAAGGGAGGCUGUAUCGGCUGCGGAUCUGGUUCUACAAGAUGUACAGAAACUCACCUCCCUACAAGAGACUCGUGGCAUGUCACUUCCUGUACAACGCGAGACUGGAGAUAUUAAAAUUGCAUGGGGGAACUUCUGCUGGAGAUAUUCCGCUUUCAUGCCCGGGAAACCAGUGCGCUACAGCUCGAGGACCAGCGUGAAGGUUUCGUGCUCAAGAUGGUGGAAGGUUUUAUCUGUGCCACACUAGAUCAUUAUUAACCCACAUGGAACGAGAAUGGGUCGAUACAUUUGAGUAAAGGAACUUGUAACGUUGUCCAGCAUCGCUGAGGAAAUGAGGGUGGGGAAGAAGAAGAGCUGGACCCUCAUUCCAGACAGUUCCUCAAAAAUGCCCAUAAGAUACAUAACAUCAAGACUUGUUACAAAGUGUCACACAAGUAUCUCGUGCAGGCAACAGAUAGUCUCGUACAAACUAUGGUCCUUCACGGGCCCUAAACAAGAAAUAUAUGGACUUGGCCGGAGUUGCUUCCCUUGAAUUAGUGGAAUGUUUUGGCCAGUACGACCCAGCGAUCACAAGCCGGUUCUUUGCUCUUUAUCAGAGCUAUGUGACCUCUACGCGUCUUAUUGACCUGUUGACCUGUCGCCCAGCUUGACCCAACCCAGUCACGCCUGCCCGCAGCAAGCCAAUUUCCUGUCAAGGGAGAUUGACAUCCAACUCCCUCGCAAGUGACGCAUACCGCAGUCAACGCAAGAUGCUCUUAAAAGCGAUUGGCAGGUACUGUGAUUUCUUUUUUCUCGUAGUAGAAACAAUAUAUUUUUGGAAGUGAAAAACUUGGUUUUUAGCUUCUCUUCUUCCUCAAAAAAAAGCUAAUGUAAUGGCAUACCCUUGGUGCUCCAUCAUCGUGCAGAAACUUCUACCUCGGCUGUAAACCAUAUUAAAAAAUGUUUUCACAUAUACAAGAAGCACAUGUGUAGGAUGGACUGAGAAUAACUUACAGGUGUUGGCUUGUGUUUGUAAUAAUGACAGUUUUAGUGUGACAACUCUGAUUUCAGUGGUUUUAUGAAUCAUUGAAUCUAAUUUUCACUCUUUUUGGUUUAUACUAAUUUAUUUAAGCUCGAUUGUGACAAAAGCUGAUAGCUUAUAGAAUCACUCUCGAUACUGUUUCCUGGGUGGAACCAGUACUGUGUCCUUUUUGAGAGUGUAGGCUAUGAGAAAGUACCCCUAGUGGGGAUCUAACCCACAACCUCUUGGGUGAGAGGCGGACACCUAUACCACUAGACCACUCUUUUUCUCAAUGACAUAGUUUGACAACUUUUGAACAUUAGGAACAUUGUUGAAACUCACAUGGUUGAAUUUACAUACUUGCUUUUAGGAUUAUUUUAUUUUAAAUGCUAAAAAAAUAACAUUUACUCGGAUUUAUCUGAAAUGCAUGCCAAAUUGUAAGCAAAUGUUAAAUCAUCUGAAAAAGUACUGCAUUGAUAUUAUGUGCCAGCCCUGUUUAGGGUGGAGUUUGAUUUAGUUAAUGGUCUGGGCUUAAGUUUAAAACAGUGAAAGAUAGGAAGUAGAUAUUUUCAGGCUUUGAAACAUGCAGUUUAAUUUCACUGAUAAAUCUCUGUAAACCAUUGGGAAGCAUUAUAUUCAGUUAUGAUAUACAUAUCUAUGCUUGGUUACAAUCCUGGAAGAAACAGGAGAUUUCCACAACCCAUAUAGACUUGCCCGAAGAUCUCCCAUCAAACUUUAACUGGGAAUUCCUUGUGCUACAGCAAUCACUUUACAAAAGUAAGAAGCCGUUUUGCUAGGAUGAACACCAAUUUUGUCAGAGGGGAAGCUGAGGAUAAUAUUGAAUUUACUUUCGCCCAAAGCCCUCGCAGCUGCCAGCCAACAAAACCCAAAACAAGCCCAUGGUAACCAUGCUAAGGAUAUUUUGUAUAUGUAUUUUGCAUAUCCUGGGCAAAUAAUCUAAACAAUGGGUUUUAUUAAUUUCUGCUAUCAUUAUUACAAUAAAUCAUACUCGUAAGCGACCUACAAAGCUUAUGAAUUUAAUAAACAUAUUCCCUUAGCUGCGGCACACUGCCCCUCAAUGAACCGCCAUUUUGAAAUUCAUUUAACAAUUUACCUAAAGCGACUAGGAAUAAAAUGCUCAAAAACAAAAUAGGAACUUACAGUUUUAUACUACGUGUUUAUAGGACGUACACAAAUGCAAGUUGUAUACUUCCCAACCAUCAUAUACUACAUGACCAACGACUUACUUUAAAACAAUUUCUAACUUUUAUAUAGUUUUAAGCAACGUGUACGUGUUUAUGCACUGUUAUCUAGCAGACAUAAUUUCAUAACAGGUCUUGCCUUCAUUGAUCCAUUUACACGUGCCUUGCACGAGCAAACCAAACAACCUCGUUUUUAUUUACCUCUUUUACCAGUCUGAGAGGCCAACAUCCAUGUGGUAGUGCCUCAUCACACACAAGAACAAGAUCAUUUACCCCGAUAUUUCGUUGAACAUCUUGCUAUUUUUGCCUCUGAAGAAGAUUUGGUACAUUUCAUAUGUAGAUAUAUCUCAUUUAGGGCAAAUGCAGAGCACAAGAACUGUUAGUUCUUGCUUCCAUAUUUUAGGAGUAGUUGCCCUUUGUUAAUUUUCAUGCUUAAAGUUUUGUCCAGGGCAUAUCUUGUAGAAUAUAAGAGUUAUCAACUUGAAACUUCAUAUAAAGAUAGAUCUUAUGGAGGGCAAAUGCAGUGCACAAUAACAGUAUCUCUUGCUUAUUAUACCCCCACAAACGAAGUUUGAGGGGGUAUAUAUAGGAGUGAGCUUGUCGGUCGGUCUGUCUGUCUGUCGGUCGGUCUGUCGGUUUUCAUGGUUUCCGGACAAUAACUCAUAAAAGGCUAGACAGAUUUGAAAAAAUUUUGGUACACAGGUGUAACAUCAGAAGAUACAGGUCAAGUUCGAUAUUGGGGCUGGUGGGGCCAAGGUCAAGGUCACUGUUACUAAAAAUAGAAAAACGGUUUCCAGAUGAUAACUUAUGAAAGGCUUGACAGAUUUGAAAAAUAUUUGUUACACAGGUGUAACAUCAGAAGAUACAGGUCAAGUUCAAUAUUGGGGCUGGUGGGGCCAAGGUCAAGUUCACUGUUACUAAAAAUAGAAAAACGGUUUCCGGACGAUAACUCAUGAAAGGCUUGACAGAUUUGGAAAAAUUUUGGUACACAGGUGUAACAUCAGAAGAUACAGGUCGAGUUCGAUAUUGGGGCUGGUGGGGCCAAGGUCAAGGUCACUGUUACUAAAAAUAGAAAAAUGGUUUCCGGACGAUAACUCAUGAAAGGCUUGACAGAUUUGAACAUUUUUGGUACACAGGUGUAACAUCAGAAGAUACAGGUCAAGUUCGAUAUUGGGGCUGGUGGGGCCAAGGUCAAGGUCACUGUUAAUAAAAAUAGAAAAAUGGUUUCUGCUUCAUAACUUUAAUUGGGCAUGAGAUAUUGUGAUGAAACUUGCUGUAUAGGCAGCCUCUGUGAAGACAAUGCUUGUGAUUGAAAAUGGGGCCAGUGGAGUAAAGGUUUUUGUGCACUGUUACGAAAAUAGAAAAACGGUUUCCGGACAAACAAUAUGUGCAUGAUAAAAGAAGAUGCAGUGUGAAGUAACCUUGGAGUUAUGGCCUCUUUUCAAAGGAAUGGUUUGCCAUUCCUGUGUCCAGGCAGCAUUUGGGGGUAUUCGUCACUCCUGUGACAGCUCUAGUUUAGUUUUAGAGUAAUUGCCCUUAGUUAAUUUUCAUGCUUAAAGUUUUGUCCUGGGCAUAUCUGAAAAUAAUAUAACAGUUAUCGACUUGGAGACUUGAAACUUCAUACGUAGAUAGAUCCCAUUGAGGGCAAGUGCAGUGCACAAGAACCAUAACUUGUGCAUAUUUAUGUUUAGAGUUAUUGCCCUUAGUUAAUUUUCAGGCUUAAAUUUUGUCAGGGGCAUAUAUCGUAAACUAUAAGAAGUAUCAACCUGUAACUUUAUAGGUAGAUAGAUCUCAUUGAGGGCAAGUGCAGUGCACAAGAUCUGUAACUCUUGCUUCCAUAUUUUUAGAUUUAUUGCCCAUUUUAAUUUUCCUUGUUGAUUUUUGUCUGGCUUAAUGCUGUUACCUUAAGUUCAAAUACCACCUACACUUGAAAGUUAAAUGGCAAUACAAUGUGUAUAAAUGUAUAAAAUGCCAAUCUUACAGCUAUAAUAAUGACAAUAAAUCAUUUGUCAGGCGACACAUCCGACUCGCGGAGUUCUAGUUAAUAAUUCACAAUUUAUUUUGCCUUUACUUUAAUGUUUUCCCCAUAGUGACAUUUCAGACACAGCUCAUGGAUCAGUGCCUUCCUCAACCAAAAGGGCUGACAAGAGGACUGUAGACUUGUCACUUACUGCUGACCACACUCUUCCAGAUGAAGAAAAUAAGAUGGAUCAUAGAAGGCUGGUAGAUGAAUGUAAUUGGAUGUACCACAAUAUGACAUGUGCACUAUGUUGGAUUGGCAUCAAAGAAUGAAAGUGCAAAAAGGUUGCAACAGAUAUAAAAUGAACCAUCUUGCUCUCACCCCUCAGGCUCAACUGAAAGAUUUACUGUCAACAUGUAUGGCUUCAAAUUAAGUUUAUUUAUGAUUAAGACUGAAAGUUUCAAUGUGAACUUAGUAAAAGUAAGAUGACAUGAAGUGAAUUCUUAAUGAUUAAGGGUGGGCAUCUAAACGACUUAGAAUAUAAUCUCAUUGGCUGAUACUGGUACAUUGUCGGCGCAAUAUCUGAAGCAGGGAGUGUGUGUCGGAUGAAUGGCAGUAGGCGGACCUUUAAACAUGCACAGAAGUUGAAAUUCUUAAUGAUUAAGUCUACUACUUAAUGGUUGCCUGUCUGCAAUCUCAUUGGCUGAAAAUGUAGGUUGUAUUCUAAAUUGUUUCUGAGCUUGAUGAUUGAUUUUUACCUUUAAUGCUGUAAGGCUAUUUAAGUGUGAUGAAUUUGAAAAUAAUCAGUCCAAGUUAAUUUCUAUUUUAUUUUGGCAAUAAAUUAUAUAUUUAAAUAAAUGGUUUUCCUACAAAUAGAGUAAUAAUCAUGGCUCAGGCACUUGAGCCAACAAGAAAAAUAAACAAUAUUGUUGAUCGAAUAAAUGUGCCAUAUUUUAUGAGAAAUAUUACCACUGCUUUAAGAAUCUGAUUUUUACUGAACUAUUUUAUGUUAAAUUUUGAAUGAAUGUAUAGUUCUUUUUUGUUGUUGUUAAUAUGUGUACGUACGUAUAUAUGUGAAUAAGUCUUUAAGUAAUGGUGAAUGAUUGUUAAGGGGUAAUUUCACUCCUGUUUUUUCUUACCAUAGAAGGAGAUUUUUUUUAAGCAAAUCAACAGUUGCAUGUAAAAUGCGUUUAAGUUUCAAUUUUUUUUGUUUCAAAUAUUUUCUAUAUAUAUAUAUAUUUUUUUUUGAAGGUACAUGUACAACAGAAUGAUGUAAAUUGGUGUAUUUACUCCUUGCAUACGUGCUUUGAUAUGUACAAGCUAUCAGCUCAAAUUGAUGCUACAUAAAGGAAAAGACCUGGUUUUGUAUGUAGUGUACACCAACAUUGAUGUUGAGCAGCCAAGUGCAAAUAGUUCAUUAAACCUAAUCAAAUACAUAUAAGUCAUUUAGUUUAAAUUUGGUUAAUACACUGAAAGUGAACAGCCUAUCUUCGCUACAGCGCCAGCUGACUACAUUGUCCUCCUUUUCACCAGUCAUUAUGGCCUUCAGCUGAUGGUCAGCAUGAGUAAGCCCAGAUGUGGAGUUUUGCCUACUAGAUGGCAAAAUGUGCGAAUAUGGAAAUGGGAGGAAAACACAGCCAGGGCGAUAAGCCCAGCCAGAUAAUGUAUGGGGACACCUCUAUCGACAACACAAACAUGUACACUCAUUUGGGUAUCUUACAGCCGCCCAUUGGAAAACUACCAUAUAAUAUUGAUGAUGUCUGACAAUGUGUUGGAUGAAUGUUAUCUUAAAUGCAUUUUUCAUGUGUUACCUUGUCAUGUGUAUCUUUUAUAAUUUUCCUGGUUUAUAUACUUACAUAAUGUGUCUUAUGCAAAUCUUCAGUGAAUGGAGGCAAUA